UCGUCAUUUCUUGACUGGUUGCCAACCAAAACCGAACAAGAAGAAAUUUUUAUGUCAAGAAGUUCGUAUAUCUAUUUAAAAACUUCUUUCUUGCUUUAGACCCCCCCCCCCUUUCAUUAUUCCUAUUCCUGACUCAGCAGAUCUUCCUUCAAUCACCGGGCGCGGGCGGGCCUGCGCAUGCACACUGAGUGCCACUGAUCGCUAUCGUCCGUAUAAUUAUGCAAAUUAACCAGCCGCCAAACGCAAACCGCCAAUUUAUGCCCGCCAAUUGCAAUUUGAAAAAGCCAUCUUCGCCGUGCCGUUAACAUUUACACAGCACAGUUUUAUCGAGUGCGAUAAAGAAGGGUAAACUAAAGAAGGCCGUUUUAAUAAUAUCAAUUCAACAAUUUUAAUUCAACCACUGAAAUCACACGGACCAGAUUUGGACAAUGACUUGAAAGCUAAGACAUUCGCAGUAGGCUCUACAAGAGAGAGGGAGACCCAAAACCACCUGGAGUCAUACUGAGGAGAUGAAGUCAGUGAACAUGACCUGGGGGGGGGGGGGCCGCUGGGGUACCGGUAGUUUCCAGAAGAAGCCCAGCUCAGAAACGCCAGGAGUGGAGAUCCGAAUAUUUCGUUGCUGCCCUCCAUGCGAGGAGGCUGUAAGUUAGGUACAUCGCAUCUACCAGCAAAGAACGUGUGCCAGUACAGGAAAGGAAUGUACCUGUCGCACGUGAACUCUUCAGAGGCAGUGAGGACAACAAGAUCUGCAAGCAAGUGAUCCUUUUUAUACAUCGCACCUACCAGCAAAGAUCAAGUGCCACUACAGGAAAGGAAGGUACCCGUCUCGCGUUUAUUCUUCAGCCAGUGAGGGCCCCAAGAUCUCAAUAAAUAAUAAUUAAAAAGACUCCUUUAUCAUUCCUUUAAAAAUAGUACAUAUUAUUUAUUGAAGGUAAAUGCUUAGAUGCAUUAUAUUCAAAUUUUGUCCCCAAGCUAGCUUGUAAAAAUUGGAUUGACUACAUAUUUACUGUGUAAGUUAAUGAUCUUUGUUGACACAUAAUACAAGAAUUAUACACAGCAUGUUACAGUUUGUAACAAUUUUCUUUCAUUAAAUUCCUAGUUUUGAUACCAUACAGAUAUGUUUUUUGUGACUUUUGUCAUUCUCUGAUGUUAUUUUUGUACAGAUUUAAAGAGACUGAGGGAUUGAUUUACUAGAGCAAGUUUACAGUCCAAUCCUGUUAUAUUGUGCAUGUGGAAAGUAACAGGUUUCAAUUCCAUGCGAAAAUUUUUCCUUGAUUCAUUUCAUCAGUCCUAUGUGCAAGGAUAAUCAUUUCACUUGUCCAUGCACAUUGUUAUAACAGGAGUGGACAUUCAAUGUAAAGAUAAUUGAAGAUAAUUAAUUGAAAUAACCGCCUGAGGGGGGGGGGUGUUGGUACCAAUAUUAUAAUGUGUGUGUGCGCAAAGAAAACGAAGGAGUGAUUAUACGAGAAGAGUGAAAGAUCAGUAAUGUACAUAUCCACAUGAUUCAUUUUUGUUUAUGCUAUACAUUGCAGGGUGUUUCUAACUGGUACCACUUGACAAUUUGUGUUUCCAACUGGUCCUAACUGGUGCUUCCAACUUGUUCUAACUGGCACCAGUUGACAACUGGUGUUUCCAAAUGGUUUUAACUGGCACCAGUUGACAACUCAUGUUUCCAACUGGUCCUAACUGGCACCAGUUGACAAUUGGUGUUUCCAACUGGUUUUAACUGGCACCAGUUGACAACUCAUGCUUCCAACUGGUCCUAACUGGCACAAGUUGACAAUUGCUGUUUCCAACUGGUUUGAACUGGCACCAGUUGACAACUUGUGUUUCCAACUGGUCCUAACUGGCACCAGUUGACAAUUGGUGUUUCCAACUGGUUUUAACUGGCACCAGUUGACAACUCAUGUUUCCAACUGGUCCUAACUGGUACCAGUUAGGACCAGUUGCCAACUGGUAUUUCCAACUGGUACCAGUUACAAUUUGUCAACUGGAUUCCAGUUGAUUCCAGUAUUCCAAUUUCCAUAUUGAAUCCAGUUCGCUAACUGGAAUCAACUGGUACCAGUACCAGUUGGAUGAACUGGUCCUUAACUGGUUUUUUGACCUGGGUUGUAUCAAGUAGUUCCAUUUUGUGGAGUGUUUUGUAUGGAUAAAAAAACCUUGGUCUCUUCCCUCUCGGAGGCGGAGCCAUAUCUUGUGAAAAAUGUAGAAAUACUCGAAAAAGUCGAAUGUAAACCGCGUAAGUUGAUCUGUCAGAAAGCAGAGUUCGCACUGCACACAAUAGUGCUAAUUACGGCGUGCAUGCGAUGCGCAAUACAACGCAAAACGGUGUAACAAUGAUUGUAAUUCCGAAUGUGCGCAGUCAUGCACGAAGCAGGCGAGGGUAGGAAACAAUGCAAGCACAAAGCAAUCAAUAGUAGGCGUGCGAGCACGAGUGUGGCAUGUUAUAGUAGGAUACGUAGCGUGCACGAAGCACUCAAUGAGUUAAUAUUCAAUAACUUCGUUAUUUGUUAUCCGAUUUUUAUCAAACUUUCAGCAUUUUGCUUUGUGAAUUUUACUCUAUGUAUUGAUAUGUAAAUAUCUCCAGCCUGGACCAUCCCUUCAUAAGGUAAACUCUUUGGUAAAAAUUAUUUAUUUGUAAAAGAAAAGCAAGAUCUGCAAAGAUAUCGUUUUCUUAAUAUCUUUUGAUUUUUGGCCUCAGUGCAUAUCAUUUCUCUAUAAAUUAGCUAAAUCGAAGUCCUGGUUAAAAGACAAUUUUAGAUGUUUCUCAGUCUUCUCAUGCUCAUCUAUUCUCAUAUUCGUCACAUCUUUUCAUAUUUCCACAAUACUUUUACUUGCCUCAUACCAGCGCUGGUGCUCACACGCAUUAUUCAUAUAUUCUGUACUCUUAUGGGGUGUUGCAAGAAACUUGCAAUUGAUCGCAAGUCAAUUUCAGGUCCCAAAAUCAAUUAAAAUUCAUGCAUUUCAUUGCAAAUUUGCAACUGACUGAUGGCCUGCUUCUUGCAUCAACAAGUAUAAAUUGAUUUGCUUUAGUUUAAAUUGAUCUAUUACUUGUAAAUUUGCAUCAUAAAUUUGCAAUUGAUCGCAAAUAUUUUCUUGCAACACCCCAACAUUAAUAUCAAGGCAUCUAUGAAUUUGACAUACAUCAAGUAACAGAAGCAUCACCAGGCUUAAAAUUAUAAAAUGAAUGAAUGUAAGUCAUUAUAAUAAGCUUAAGAUACAGUACAUAAAGCACUCAAGAAAUACAUGUGCAUAUAAAGUGCUGUUGUAACUGUAUUGAAGAAAAAAUCAACCAAAUACACUGAGAUGUGAAGCAAAUCUAGUCGUCAAUAUCCUUCAUAAAACUCUUAGAUUAAGAAAGACAAAAGUCAUGUUAUCUGUAUGGGUAACAAAUACUCUACUCCACAAAACUAUUCAAAUAAUAGUUUAAAUUAAACUCCAUAUAUCUCAUACCAUAAGGAAGACCAAACAAUUUAGAUUAGAAGGCCAUACCCCGAUGUGUACAAGACAACCUUUUACUUGAGGUGGAGUGGGCCUGUUUCUAUAAAAUAUAUGUACAUAAACGAAAGAGCAAUCAAAAGAAACAAACGUACUAGCAAAAUGGUGCUAUAUAUAUUUUGUUAAGGAGAACAAAUCAGCAAAAUAAAGCAAAUGAAUACUCUGUGAAACUCCUAAAAACAAAACUAGACAAAAGCAUUAUCAUAUACGACAUAAAAUUCUUAGAAUACAAAAAAAAAUUCAUAUACCUGACUUACAUGUAUUAAAAUACAAUAAUAUGGCAAGUCAACUAUAUAUUGUUGUUUGUGGGUGGGGGUGGGACGCAAAGCAAAAUCCUCGACCACUAAGCCAAAACCCAAUCCUGAUACAUUCAGAAACCUGAAAUUGAUGAUUGCACAAACAUGAAUAUCCAAAACAUUUCUGGGGUGAUUCCAUACGUGUCGUACGGGACAUUUAGAGAACAUUUGACAGUUUUUUUACAAGAAAAACAAAAAAUAUUCCAGUAACUAAAGGUGAUCAUCAAGUACUACCAGAGUGUUAGAAAAACCAAGACUUAACAUGACUUGAAUUCACAUCCUGUAUAAUAGAGAUUUAAAAUAGUAAUGUGUCGUACGGACGCAGAAAAGGUGGCUUUUUUCGAAACCUCAAGUUUGUACUCUAAAGUCUGUGAGUUGGUCAGAUAAUUUUCAAAGAAACUGAACUCAAAUUGAUAUUCAAUUACCCAAAAACAAACACAUCUAUGAAAGAAAGCAAAAUAAAACAUUCAUGAAUAAAUAAAGCAAAUUAACAUUUUCGAGAACAUUGUGGCGUACGGGACACUCAAAAUGUGUCGUACGGGACAUCUCUAAAUUGAAGCCAAACUUUCUUACUUUAUGUCUCUUUGACUUUUUCAAUCAUUUUAUUUGGCUGAUGAUAAUGAUAGUCCUAUCAAAAUAAAGACAUUCAUUAUGUUAGAAACCGCAAUUGGCUGAAUAUUUCUGUCAAUAUAUCAUAAACAAAAUAAUGUGUCGUACGGGACACUUGUGUGUCGUACAGGGCACUUCUGUGUCGUACGGGACACUUGUGUGUCGUACAGGCACUUGCGUGUUGUACUGGACAGUCUGAAUAAAAUAAUGAACUUUAAUCAAUCAGAAGGGGAGCAUUGCCCCUAAAUUCUUCCUUUUUAAUGAAAAGUCGUUUAAUAAGUAGUCAUUCAAGACAAUAUAAUUACUAGUAAGUUACCUCAAUAUAUACAAUCGGGAGCAAUAUGUUAUCAUUUUUUUCACGAUGGGAAAUGCACAAGGUUUCGCAGCAUUUUUACGAGCUGUAAAACUUGAGGUUUUGUGUGAAGUUAUAUUUCAGUGAAUUAAUUGAUGAUUUCCAAUACACUAUUUAAACAAUUUAAACCCAAUGAAUGAAACUGUUUGUGUAAAUUAUGGGGCUAAAAUGUUAUAAUUUUUCAUAUAAAAUGUAUAUAUACACGAUCUAUGUCACAACUGUCACUUGUAAUUCCACAAAAUAUUUUUUUCUAAAGAAAUACGGUUCUACUUUUUCAAACCUUUCUGCAUUUCAUGAAAACAUAUGGUUUGUCUUAUUUUCCAGAUUUUUUUUGAACAACAUGGUUUGUCUUAUUUUCCAGAUUUUUUUUACAACUUGAAAAAAGUACGGAGUUUCAGUACUGUAUAUAAACAAAUUGGUGAUCAUCAAGGGAAGUCCAAAUAGUUGAUUGAUAUGUAUUUUUUUUUUACAUCUUAUAAUAAUUCCACAUUAGCAUGCAAGAGGAAGUCAUCUUCCAGGCUAGGGUGAAUCAAUUAUAAAGGUUUUCUUUUCAUGCUCAGUGACAGAGAAAUUAACCUGCUCUGACCAGUGAAAAUCACCAGUUUAGCUGAAGGGAUUCACAAAAGAAUACACCUACAUGAAAUCAAUUAAAAUGGUUAGAAUCACCUCUUUCAUGAUUGAUUGAUUGAAUGGUUUAUUUAUUUCAAAUAUUCACUGAAAAUAGCAGCCAAAGGCUGAAUUACAUUCAGUUUACAGAUGGCAUAUACAGACAUAUACAAAAAUAUACAACUUAGAAUAAAAUACGCAAAUAUCAAAAUGAAAUUAUAUUACAAAAUAAUUAUACAUAAAUAUGAAAGUAAUUGACAUACCCAGCAUAUGAGUUGGAAGACUCAGAGGUAGAAUGAAGUACAUGCAGUGAGAACAUUGUUAGAAAGAAAGACAAAAUGAAAUAAGAGGAAGAGAGGGGGAGAGACAGGAACAGAGUUAAAGAGAUUUGGUAUUUAACAAAGAUGGAAAAAAAAUUAUCGGAAAUAGUAAUCAUAAUGCAACAAAUGAAAAACUAAGGAAGAAACAGAUCAUAUUGGGAUGCAUGUCCCCCUUCUUAAACGCUUUUUGUCUAGCAUUUAUUAGUGUUUUGAUGUAUGGCGUCAUCCAGCAUACACGUUUACCUCGAUGUAUUUCGUCUCUCUUUGUGGCAGUGAUCUACUAUUCACAACCGGACAAUGAAGUUGCUACUCAAUUCAUGUUCUAUGGAGAUAAAAAAAGUAUUUUUCAGUUCACUUUAUGUCAAAUCAAUUUCUUGAAUUAAAAUAGACCUACUAUUUAUAGUUUCUGAAUCCAAAUCCUGCAAUUAAAUGCAUUAUAUAUUAUGUGUCGUAAGGGACAACUUUUAAUAGGACAAUUAUUGAAAAAUAAAGGACAGUGAUUAGAUCCUUAUGGGAUAAAUCGAUCACCCAUGGGUCAAAGAAAGAGAAACUGAUAUUGUGAAAUUGCAUCAUCAAAAAUAAAAUUGUAGGAUAAAAUUUUGCACUUUUAUGUGUCGUACGGGACAUUGCCAAAAAUAGGUUCGGAAAAAUCAGGGCUGCCCCUAUUAUGGAUCAUGAAAAUGUUGUAGAUAUUAUUUGGAACCAUCAAUGAUACAUUAUUCCAUUGACCUGCAAUAUUUUCAAUCUUCUCGUGCUUUGCCAAUAAUUGUUUCAGGCAGUAUUUGUACUUGACUAUUUAAUUAGCAAAAUUAUUGAAAAUUGAAAAUUCCAUUGUUCCUCCCCCAAAAAAUAUAUCUGAUUUCACUUUUGGUUAAAACUCGUAAUUUUCAUAAAAUUUAGGUAUCAUAGUAAAAUAUUACACUACUUAUGACUUAUUGAAAGCAUGUUGAAAUUUAUGAUAUUUUUGAAGUUCUAGUGUGGAAUCGCCCUAUGGAUCUAUAUAGCCAAAAUAAUAACAGUUCCAUGUCUUCUGACUCCAUAAUUACCAGAGGAAUACUAUAUGUUGGAUAUAUACAAAUUUGAUCAAUAAAACUGUAAAAGAGAUAUUCUAAUAAAAAACUUUUGAUUUGAGAUCCAACGCGCAAUGUUCACUUUCCAACAAUGAGCAGCUCGCCACCAACAGGAGAUAGGUACCAGUGACGCCCUGGAAUAGACCGGUUUACUAAUAUAGUCAAAUUUAUGGAUGUUUCUUCCAUCGGGGCCUAGUAACGAGUUAUUCUAUUAACCUGUACCUAUUAAUGGUAUUUCAAUACUUGGAAUCCACUUUGCAUAUAUUAGUUGUUGCUAUUUUCGGCAAAUAUCAGGCAAGCUUUCCGGUUGUUAGAAGCAACCUUUGUUAAACUGGUAUGCAUAAAAUCUGAAUAUGUUAGUAAACCGGUCUAUUGAUCCUUGUUUAAUUCAUAUAAAAUUAGAAUGCAUAUAAUUAGAAAUGUUUAUUUUGCAGGUUUUAUUCUUGCCUGCAUUCUUUUGCGAAAAAAGUCAUGAAAUGAUCAGCGCGAUGUUUUUGUUUAAAAAAU